GCCUCACUCAAAUGAACAAAACCUCUAGAAAAAGAACUUUGAUGACUAUGAAGAUAUUCUAUUUGGUUUUUAAAGUAUGUCCUUAAAGAUGAUUUUUCACUUCCCUUUUAUGUGAUUGUAGAUUGCAUAUAUUCACCGGAAAUUCACGUUUUCACUUUGCUCUUCGCAUUCGGUCGUCUUCAUAGGCAAGAGAAUCAGAAGAUACCGACCAGAAAUUGAAGACCGACUCUGACAGAAUGUGUGACGAUUCUACGGAUCGGAUUUUGAAGACCGGCACCCUUCUUGACGGCUGAUAGGAUGCUAUGGGAUCUAAUGGAAUCAAGCUAGGACGAUGCCUAGAAAGGUCACGUAGUUAACCUAGAAACUUUGAGACAAUAUUUGCUGAUGAUGUAAUUUGAUACUUAUUGUGAUGGUUGUAUGGUUUAGACAAUGCAUGAAAUCAAUUUAAUUUCUAUCGAAAUAUUUAGUGUUAU
rnacentral:lncRNA from 1 species